UACCUGCUCUCAUACAGCAACUAGCUGAUUCUGGUUACACCGUCCAGCGAGGAGCCAGGCCAAACGCUAGAAAAGUUGCAGUCUUGGUUGUUGAGAGUGUCAAGUCUGCAGAGUUAGUGUCGAAUCAAGUGAAAAACUUACAGAACAAAGGCAUCACGGUGUUCAUCGCUGACCCAACCAAAUCUGGAGCUGAAAUUAAAGGCGUGACCACACUUAAGGGAGGGUCAGAGGAACAGGCUACAGAACUGAUCCAGAAUCUACUGCAGUAACUCUUGUGAAAACCAACUCGUCAGAAGUAGAAGCCAGGGACAAACACAUGGCUGGAUUUGUAUCGCUUGGGUGUCAAUGAGUUGGAGAGUAGUUUUUUUUAUUAUUUAGUAUUGAAAUGAUAAUUUCAGAGCAGUGAGUGAAGGAAGUCAUUUAGUUUCAUUGAAACUUUCUAUAUUUUUUUUUAAAUGUGC
rnacentral:sRNA from 1 species